AUACUUACCUGGACGGGGUCAAUGGGCGAUCAAGAAGGCUCAUGGCCUAGGUUGGUGGCCUCCAUUGCACUUAGGAGGGGUGCCUGCCUAUGGUCUCCUCACUGUAGGAGAGCCAACGUCAUAAUUUGUUGCCGUGGGGGCCUGCGUCCGCGCGGCCCCUGU
rnacentral:snRNA from 1 species